rnacentral:tRNA from 1 species
ACGCGGCUGGCGGAAUUGGCAAACGCAUUGGGUUUAGGUCCCAACGCCGCAAGGCUUGAGGGUUCGAGUCCCUCGCCGCGUACCA